AACGGAGAUGGCGAGCGUUGUUCGGAUUCACUGGGCGUAAAGAGCACGUAGGCGGUCCAGUAAGUUGGGUGUGGAAUCCCUCGGCUCAACCGGGGAAGUGCGCCCAAAACUGCAGGACUUGAGAGCAACAGGGGAGAGUGGAACUCUUGGUGGAGCGGUGAAAUGCGUAGAUAUCAGGAGGAACGCCGGCGGCGAAAGCGACUCUCUGGGUUGAUUCUGACGCUGAGGUGCGAAAGCCAGGGGAGCAAACGGGAUUAGAUACCCCGGUA
rnacentral:rRNA from 1 species